GAUGAACGCUGGCGGCGUGCCUAAUACAUGCAAGUCGAGCGAACAGAUGAGGAGCUUGCUCCUCUGACGUUAGCGGCGGACGGGUGAGUAACACGUGGAUAACCUACCUAUAAGACUGGGAUAACUUCGGGAAACCGGAGCUAAUACCGGAUAAUAUAUUGAACCGCAUGGUUCAAUAGUGAAAGACGGUUUUGCUGUCACUUAUAGAUGGAUCCGCGCCGCAUUAGCUAGUUGGUAAGGUAACGGCUUACCAAGGCGACGAAGCGUAGCCGACCUGAGAGGGUGAUCGGCCACACUGGAACUGAGACACGGUCCAGACUCCUACGGGAGGCAGCAGUAGGGAAUCUUCCGCAAAGGGCGAAAGCCUGACGGAGCAACGCCGCGUGAGUGAUGAAGGUCUUCGGAUCGUAAAACUCUGUUAUUAGGGAAGAACAAAUGUGUAAGUAACUAUGCACGUCUUGACGGUACCUAAUCAGAAAGCCACGGCUAACUACGUG
rnacentral:rRNA from 1 species